rnacentral:misc_RNA from 1 species
AAGGAAUUGCCACUUGGGUUUGACGCAAGUACUGAGGAAGAGUAUGCUUCCCAGUCCAAGCUGCUUCAAGAGUUCACAAGUAUCUCCAGUAUUGACAAGGCGUGGACUUUUAAGUCUAACAGCGGAAUGGGCUCCCAGGCAAUGUUUUCAAUUAGCCAGGCAAAUCUUUUGGCUAACAAAAGGAGGAAAUUCAUUCUAUCAGCUAUAAUUUCAAAAGAAAGUAGCAGUUCUGUGAAC